AGGGAGAUGCUGGAGGUGUUGAUCUAGGUAGCCAAGCUGAAGCUGGAGGUGUAAUCAUGGAUAUUGUUGAAGGAGUUUGUUCGACCAAAGAUGACAUCAAUGCUAAUGACUCGGUGGAUACUCAUACUCCCACAAGCAAGACUUUGGGAAAAAGGCCUAAUGAGAGUGGUGACUAUGCUGAUGGGGGUGGUUUGUCUGCAACAAAUAAAAUUCAGAAGCUUGCCAGUAUGGAAAAAUUGGAUUAAUGUGUUUAUGUUUGUCCUAUUUUGAUGUGUUUACCGUUGUCUGUUGCCGUAUUUUAUUAUAUUUCUGUCAUAUUGAACUCAGUUUUCUAUGUUUUAAUGUGUUUGUGUCUUAAUUGAGUCAGUUUUACUAUGCUUUAUUGCGAUGUGAAACAUUAUUUUGUUAUGAUGUGAAACAUUAUUUGUUGUGGCCAUUUUCUUUUGAUCUGAAUUAAUUUACCUUUCUGAGUUUGGAACCUUA